rnacentral:rRNA from 1 species
UACGUAGGGUGCAAGCGUUGUCCGGAAUUAUUGGGCGUAAAGAGCUCGUAGGCGGUUUGUCGCGUCUGCUGUGAAAACCGGAGGCUCAACCUCCGGCCUGCAGUGGGUACGGGCAAACUAGAGUGCGGUAGGGGAGAUUGGAAUUCCUGGUGUAGCGGUGGAAUGCGCAGAUAUCAGGAGGAACACCGACGGCGAAGGCAGCACUCUGGGCCGGUACUGACGCUGAGGAGCGAAAGCAUGGGGAGCGAACAGG